ensembl:misc_RNA Y_RNA Y RNA
GGCUGGGCCCAGUGCAGUAAUGUUUAUAACCAGUUACAGAUUUCUUUGUUUCUUCUCCACUAUCACUGUUUCACUUGACUAGCCUUAA